rnacentral:rRNA from 1 species
UACGAAAGGUGCAAGCGUUACUCGGAACCACUGGGCGUAAAGCGCACGUAGGCGGACUCGUAGGUCAAUUGUGAAAUACCUGGGCUCAACCCAGGAACUGCAGUUGAAACCACUUGUCUUGAAUACCUGAGAGGGUGGGGGAAUACCUGGUGGAGAAGUGAAAUUCGUAGAGAUCAGGUGGAACACCGGAGGCGAAGGCGCCUGCCUGGCAGUGUAUUGACGCUGAGGUGCGAAAGUGCGGGGAGCAAACAGG